GGGUUGUGAGGUUAAGCGACUAAGCGUACACGGUGGAUGCCCUGGCAGUCAGAGGCGAUGAAGGGCGUGCUAAUCUGCGAUAAGCGCCGGUAAGGUGAUAUGAACCGUUAUAACCGGCGAUACCCGAAUGGGGAAACCCAGUGUGACUCGUCACACUAUCAUUAACUGAAUCCAUAGGUUAAUGAGGCGAACCGGGGGAACUGAAACAUCUAAGUACCCCGAGGAAAAGAAAUCAACCGAGAUUCCCCCAGUAGCGGCGAGCGAACGGGGAGGAGCCCAGAGCCUGAAUCAGCAUGUGUGUUAGUGGAAGCGUCUGGAAAGGCGCGCGAUACAGGGUGACAGCCCCGUACACAAAAGCGCAUGUGCUGUGAGCUCGAUGAGUAGGGCGGGACACGUGGUAUCCUGUCUGAAUAUGGGGGGACCAUCCUCCAAGGCUAAAUACUCCUGACUGACCGAUAGUGAACCAGUACCGUGAGGGAAAGGCGAAAAGAACCCCGGCGAGGGGAGUGAAAAAGAACCUGAAACCGUGUACGUACAAGCAGUGGGAGCCCCACCACUAAGCCAGUGGUGAACUCCACAUCCGCAUCCUUUGCUGAGGAUACGGUUAACGGAGCGAAAGCGACGUUCAACCGCAAAACAAGCAGAGGGGGCUUAGUGGUGGGGUGACUGCGUACCUUUUGUAUAAUGGGUCAGCGACUUAUAUUCUGUAGCAAGGUUAACCGUAUAGGGGAGCCGGAGGGAAACCGAGUCUUAAUUGGGCGUUAAGUUGCAGGGUAUAGACCCGAAACCCGGUGAUCUAGCCAUGGGCAGGUUGAAGGUUGGGUAACACUAACUGGAGGACCGAACCGACUAAUGUUGAAAAAUUAGCGGAUGACCUGUGGCUGGGGGUGAAAGGCCAAUCAAACCGGGAGAUAGCUGGUUCUCCCCGAAAGCUAUUUAGGUAGCGCCUCGUGAAUUCAUCUCCGGGGGUAGAGCACUGUUUCGGCUAGGGGGCCAUCCCGGCUUACCAACCCGAUGCAAACUGCGAAUACCGGAGAAUGUUAUCACGGGAGACACACGGCGGGUGCUAACGUCCGUCGUGAAGAGGGAAACAACCCAGACCGCCAGCUAAGGUCCCAAAGUCAUGGUUAAGUGGGAAACGAUGUGGGAAGGCCCAGACAGCCAGGAUGUUGGCUUAGAAGCAGCCAUCAUUUAAAGAAAGCGUAAUAGCUCACUGGUCGAGUCGGCCUGCGCGGAAGAUGUAACGGGGCUAAACCAUGCACCGAAGCUGCGGCAGCGA
rnacentral:rRNA from 1 species